rnacentral:rRNA from 1 species
GUGGGGAAUAUUGGACAAUGGGCGCAAGCCUGAUCCAGCCAUGCCGCGUGAGUGAUGAAGGCCUUAGGGUUGUAAAGCUCUUUUGUCCGGGAAGAUAAUGACUGUACCGGAAGAAUAAGCCCCGGCUAACUUCGUGCCAGCAGCCGCGGUAAUACGAAGGGGGCUAGCGUUGCUCGGAAUCACUGGGCGUAAAGGGCGCGUAGGCGGACUUUUAAGUCGGAGGUGAAAGCCCAGGGCUCAACCCUGGAAUUGCCUUCGAUACUGGGAGUCUUGAGUUCGGAAGAGGUUGGUGGAACUGCGAGUGUAGAGGUGAAAUUCGUAGAUAUUCGCAAGAACACCGGUGGCGAAGGCGGCCAACUGGUCCGAAACUGACGCUGAGGCGCGAAAGCGUGGGGAGCAAACAGGAUUAGAAACCCUAGUAGUCCC